rnacentral:lncRNA from 1 species
UUUCAUGUCAUGGAUACCCUCAAAAAAGAGGUGUCUUCGUUCCUGCAUGUAUCUCAAUAUGUCACACGGACCUCACAUUCCUCUGCCACGUGCUUCUUGCGUAUGCCACAGAGGGUAAGAGCAUGCAACCACGAAACGCCGCUGGGCUGUAGUGGUGUAAGGUGGAGCAGAGGCAACAUCUCAUGUGGUUUCUCCUCGAGGACAACGGUGUCAAUCUCACGGUUCGGUCGAACUACGCCGAUGCAUGUGAGACUAGACGGAACUGCAUAGCCUGUACAGACGGUUCACAUGAUUGCAGAAAAACACGUUCAUUCGACAAUUCCAAUUUUCUCUCCUCUCACUGAACUAGCGUCGCAAGUGGCCCCAUAUGAGGUUUCUGGCCGCGAGAGGUAUUUGCAGGUUUUGUCACGCUGCCUCAUCUCCUGAUACGGGAACUAACGGAACCUGCUGACUGAUGACCGAACAAUACACGCGGAAACGCUGCUACACAUUGUGGGGUCAUCAAAUCUACGUGAACUGCCAGGAAGUGACCAGACAUUGAAAUAGGGAGACCAGUUUAUCUUUUGCAGCAUUUGCCUUCUAAGUCACCCACCUCGUGGUGGCUUGCGCAUCCUGGUGGUUUGCUGUCGCUGAAAAAGAUUGUCGGAACAUCCGUCGGUAGCGAAUAGCCAAAUAAGUAACUGAUGAUACUGCCUGUCGAAACGCAACUUUGUUCUGUUAAUUAUGCAUCAGAAUUCCUCUGCCCCGAAAAAAUGAUAACUCAUAUCGGUUGCUGUCAUUUUCGGCACUUGCACCAUUGACGGGAUCGCACGAGAACAGCAC